rnacentral:lncRNA from 1 species
AAUGUAUAUGCUUUGGUAUGAUAUGAUUCCAAUAUGAUAUGAUGAAGUUUGGUUGUUAAUUUGUCAUUAAAUGCAUGUCAUGGAAUUGUAUUGAUUUUGUAGUUGACUGAUGUUUGUGAAGUGAAGAUUGGUCAAAGUUAUGGUUUUAGUAGAUAAAAAAGGGGGGUUUUAAUUGUCAAGUUUGUGAGAUAAAGGUUGGUUUGGUGAAUAUGAUAUUCCAAGUCUGUUGUGGGAGUAUUUGAAAGUUGUUAGGAGUAUGGAAACUGGUUUGGAACUAAAGAGGGUGGUCCAUGGUUGGUGUGUGAGUGGUUUAUAGUGCAAAUGGGAGGUUUGGGUAGUGAAAUUCUAAAAUAGAGAGUUGAGACAGGUUUGGGAAGUUUGAGGCCUGUAGUUGAGUCACUUAAAACUUGUCUAGGCCUUUAGCUUGCUAUUUUGGUAUAAGGAAUGGUAGAAAUGGGUUUUAAGUAGUCUAAAAUGGGUAGUUUGGGGUUUAGAGUGGUCAUUUCAAGUUAGAAGUAUGUUCUUAGAUAUUUCUCAGUGCC